rnacentral:rRNA from 1 species
UACGUAGGGGGCGAGCGUUGUCCGGAUUUAUUGGGCGUAAAGAGCUCGUAGGCGGUUCGGUAAGUCGGAUGUGAAAUCUCCACGCUCAACGUGGAGGGGCCAUUCGAUACUGCCGUGACUCGAGUCCGGUAGGGGAGUGUGGAAUUCCCGGUGUAGCGGUGAAAUGCGCAGAGAUCGGGAGGAACACCCGUAGCGAAGGCGGCACUCUGGGACGGUACUGACGCUGAGACGCGAAAGCGUGGGGAGCGAACAGG